rnacentral:rRNA from 1 species
CCCUUAGAUGUUCUGGGCUGCACGCGCGCUACACUGAUGCGAUCAACAAGUUUUUCCUAUGUCGAUAGACACGGGUAAUCUUUUGAACUCGCAUCGUGAUGGGGAUAGAUUAUUGUAAUUAUUAAUCUUCAACGAGGAAUUCCUAGUAGGUGCAGAUCAUCAGUUUGCAUCGAUUACGUCCCUGCCCUUUGUACACACCGCCCGUCGCUGCUACCGAUUGGUUGAUCUGGUGAAUUAUUCGGACUGCCGGCUGAAGGGGUUUCCUCAUCUGCCAGCGGAAAGUCUUGUUAACCCUAUCAACUAGAGGAAGCAGAAGUCGUAACA